CAAUGGCGUAUAUUAAAGUUGUUGCAGUUAAAAAGCUCGUAGUUGGAUUUCUGGUGGGAGCGAUCGGUCUGGCGCUUAGCGCGAGUACUUGCAUCGUCUCCGGCCAUCCUUGGGGAGAGUCUGUCUGGCAUUAAGUUGUCGGGCAGAGGAUCCUCAUCGUUUACUGUGAAAAAAUUAGAGUGUUCAAAGCAGGCUUAUGCCGUUGAAUAUAUUAGCAUGGAAUAAUAAGAUAGGACUUUGGUACUAUUUUGUUGGUUUGCGCACCAAAGUAAUGAUUAAUAGGGACAGUUGGGGGUAUUCGUAUUCCGUUGUCAGAGGUGAAAUUCUUGGAUUUACGGAAGACGAACUACUGCGAAAGCAUUUACCAAGGAUGUUUUCAUUAA
rnacentral:rRNA from 1 species